rnacentral:tRNA from 1 species
GGAAGUAUCGCAUAGUGGUCAAUUGCACUCGCUUGGAAAGCGAGAGUCCGGCAACGGCUUCCGGGGUUCGAAUCCCCGUACUUCCG